GGACCCGCACAAGCGGUGGAUGAUGUGGUUUAAUUCGAUGCAACGCGAAAAACCUUACCUACCCUUGACAUGUCUGGAAUCCUGAAGAGAUUUGGGAGUGCUCGAAAGAGAACCAGAACACAGGUGCUGCAUGGCCGUCGUCAGCUCGUGUCGUGAGAUGUUGGGUUAAGUCCCGCAACGAGCGCAACCCUUGUCAUUAGUUGCUACGAAAGGGCACUCUAAUGAGACUGCCGGUGACAAACCGGAGGAAGGUGGGGAUGACGUCAGGUCAUCAUGGCCCUUAUGGGUAGGGCUACACACGUCAUACAAUGGCCGGGACAGAGGGCUGCCAACCCGCGAGGGGGAGCCAAUCCCAGAAACCCGGUCGUAGUCCGGAUCGCAGUCUGCAACUCGACUGCGUGAAGUCGGAAUCGCUAGUAAUCGCGGAUCAGCUUGCCGCGGUGAAUACGUUCCCGGGUCUU
rnacentral:rRNA from 1 species